rnacentral:lncRNA from 1 species
ACCUACAGAAAGCGAUAAUUAAGAUGGACCAGCUAAAAGCGGGAAACCAUCAAAACCGGCCAAUCACCAAACACGCCAGCCGUGUUGUGAUGGAUUGAAGAAGAAACUUGCAUUGCUGGUUCAUAGAAAGAUCGGAUCAGAGAAAUCAACCUUUUAUUAACUUAUUGAGACGUAUAAGUUAUUCAUGUGUGUAUGUUGUAAGUGUUUACAUUGUAUUAUUAUGUACUCCCUGGCCAGUGCCGUGGCCGAUGGUGCAGAUCCGCCACAGAUUCGUGUUCUUGUUGGCCUCCAGACUCCAGCUGGUUGCCUACAAGUAAAUAUAGACCUUGUUUAGUUC